GAUGAACGCUGGCGGCGUGCCUAAUACAUGCAAGUCGAGCGAAUGGAUUAAGAGCUUGCUCUUAUGAAGUUAGCGGCGGACGGGUGGGUAACACGUGGGUAACCUGCCCAUAAGACUGGGAUAACUCCGGGAAACCGGGGCUAAUACCGGAUAACAUUUUGAACCGCAUGGUUCGAAAUUGAAAGGCGGCUUCGGCUGUCACUUAUGGAUGGACCCGCGUCGCAUUAGCUAGUUGGUGAGGUAACGGCGCACCAAGGCAACGAUGCGUAGCCGACCUGAGAGGGUGGACGGCCAAAAUGGGACUGAGAGCCGGCCCAGACUCCUACGGGAGGCAGCAGUAGGGAAUCUUCCGCAAUGGACGAAAGUCUGACGGAGCAACGCCGCGUGAGUGAUGAAGGCUUUCGGGUCGUAAAACUCUGUUGUUAGGGAAGAACAAGUGCUAGUUGAAUAAGCUGGCACCUUGACGGUACCUAACCAGAAAGCCACGGCUAACUACGUGCCAGCCGCCGCGGUAA
rnacentral:rRNA from 1 species